AGUGAACGCUGGCGGUAGGCCUAACACAUGCAAGUCGAACGGCAGCACAGUAAGAGCUUGCUCUUACGGGUGGCGAGUGGCGGACGGGUGAGGAAUACAUCGGAAUCUACUUUUUCGUGGGGGAUAACGUAGGGAAACUUACGCUAAUACCGCAUACGACCUACGGGUGAAAGCAGGGGAUCUUCGGACCUUGCGCGAUUGAAUGAGCCGAUGUCGGAUUAGCUAGUUGGCGGGGUAAAGGCCCACCAAGGCGACGAUCCGUAGCUGGUCUGAGAGGAGGAUCAGCCACACUGGAACUGGGACACGGUCCAGACUCCUACGGGAGGCGGCAGUGGGGAAUAUUGGACAAUGGGCGCAAGCCUGAUCCAGCCAUACCGCGUGGGUGAAGAAGGCCUUCGGGUUGUAAAGCCCUUUUGUUGGGAAAGAAAAGCAGCAGGUUAAAACCCCGCUGUUCUGACGGUACCCAAAGAAUAAGCACCGGCUAACUUCGUG
rnacentral:rRNA from 1 species